GACCUUUAAGAAGUGAUUAGGUCAUGAGGGACUCUGUUUUUGUGAAUGGAUUAAUGCCAUUAUUGUGAGGCUGGGUUCCUGAUAAAAAUGGAUGAAGUUCCAGCCCCCAACCUCUCUCUGACUCAUGCACUCUCGCUUCGGGCUCUCUCACCAUGUGAUGCCUUCUGUCAUGGUAUGAUGCAGCUAGAAGGCCCUCACCAGAUGCAGCCCCUUAAUCCUGGACUUCCUGGCCUCCAGAACUGUGAGCCAAUCUUGGCCGCAGAAGCGAGAUGAUGAAGGGAACGUCAUCAUUUGGAAAGCAUUGCAAUAAGACGUACACGUUAUGCCACCACUGUGGCUCUAAGGCCUACCACCUUCAGAAGUCGACCUAUGGCAAAUGUGGCUACACUGCCAAGCGCAAGAGAAAGUAUAACUGGAGUACCAAGGCUAAAAGACGAAAUACCACCAGAACUGGUCAAAUGAGGCACCUAAAAAUUGUAUACCAUAGAUUCAGGCAUGGAUUCCGUGAAGGAACAACACCUAAACCCAAGAGGGCAGCUGUUGCAGCAUCCAGUUCAUCUUAAUGUCAACGAUUAGUCAUGCAAUAAAUGUUCU
rnacentral:lncRNA from 1 species